GAUGAACGCUGGCGGCGUGCUUAACACAUGCAAGUCGAACGGAAAGGCCUCUGCUUGCAGGGGUACUCGAGUGGCGAACGGGUGAGUAACACGUGGGUGAUCUGCCCUGCACUUCGGGAUAAGCCUGGGAAACUGGGUCUAAUACCGGAUAGGACAAUGGUUUGGAUGCUGUUGUGGAAAGUUUUUCGGUGUGGGAUGAGCUCGCGGCCUAUCAGCUUGUUGGUGGGGUAAUGGCCUACCAAGGCGUCGACGGGUAGCCGGCCUGAGAGGGUGUACGGCCACAUGGGGACUGAGCGACGGCACAGACUCCUGCGGGAGGCAGGAGGGGGGAAUAUUGCACAAUGGGCGCAAGCCUGAUGCAGCGACGCCGCGUGGGGGGUGACGGCGUUAGGGUUGUAAACUCCUUUCGCUAGGGACGAAGCGUUUUUGUGACGGUACCUGGAGAAGAAGCACCGGCUAACUACGUG
rnacentral:rRNA from 1 species